UGCCAGCAGCCGCGGUAAGACGAACCGGACAAACGUUAUUCGGAAUUAUUGGGCUUAAAGGGUGCGUAGGCGGUGCUAUAAGUCAGGUGUGAAAUCCCUCAGCUUAACUGAGGAACUGCGCCCGAUACUGUAGCACUAGAGGGAGACAGAGGUGAGCGGAACUGAUGGUGGAGCGGUGAAAUGCGUUGAUAUCAUCAGGAACACCAGCGGCGAAGGCGGCUCACUGGGUCGAUAUUGACGCUGAGGCGCGAAGGCGUGGGUAGCGAACGGGAUUAGAUA
rnacentral:rRNA from 1 species